rnacentral:lncRNA from 1 species
CAUGAGAUGUGAGAUGAGAAUGAAACAUUUUCAUUAGAAGGGAGGAGAGUCCCCGGUCAGAGACGAGGCCAGAGCUGAUCUGAGCCAAUGACAUCCCCCCCCAAUUCUUUCCUUUUUUUUUUUUUUUUGUCCUUCUUACUUUCCCCAGCUGUCAUUCUCUGCGGUAUGUGGCAAGCUGAUUGAAAUCAGCACUGUGUCAGGGCCGUCAUAUCUCAGAAAGACAUAAAACAUGCAGAAACAUCAAUAAGCAACAGGCCGCUGACAGCUCUCAGGCACCGAUGGCGGCGAGGAGAGAUGAGGGGAAGGUUAGGACUCUGGGGGGAUGCUGUGCAGUUGAAGUGUCUUCUUCAGGCUUCACUGAGACCCAGGGAAGACAAGAUAAAGUCUAUCAGGUUAUCGCCUAGUUCAAGUUGCUUCUCGGACAGCAAGGCCACUGGGAUCUUGGAUGUCAGAAGAUCUGUGCGUGUGUGUGCGAGCUUAUGUGUGUAUACACGCCUCCCACCACUCCUCCAUGUUCUCCUCCAUCUGCCUCCUGUCCAUUGA